CUGCCUGCUAACUUCAUGAUCAUAAAUUAUAGACCAAAUGUAUUUUAAAUAAUACUUUUUUUCUCUACAAAAUCGUACACUUUCAAGUGAUCCAAUUGAUUUCCUGUCGUGGUUUCUGAAUGCGCUACAUUCGCAUUGAAUGGCAGUAAAAAAGGUGACUUAAGUAUCAUCUACAAGACGUUUUUGGGGCAAAUGAGAAUAUAUACAAGAAAAAUUCCGCCACUUGAGUUAGAGGAGAGCCAAAGAAGUGAAUUAUUGAACACAGUUGAGUACGGAGAGACUGUUACAGAAAGCCCGUUUUUGUAUUUAACAUGCGAUUUACCUCCACCACCUCUUUUCAAGGAUCCCUUUGAUGAAAACAUCAUCCCCCAGGUCAAUCUAUACUCUCUUCUCAAUAAAUUUAAUGCAGUUACGGAAAAAGAGUACAAAACUUACAAAGAAAAUUUUAUGAAAAGAUUUAUCUUCGGACAAUCAAAUUGGUUUUGUUAAAUUCUGUUAAACUAAAAUUUAUUUGGGAUAACUAAAUUUUAUUACGUCAA